AACCUACUCCCUCCGUCCAGAAAUACUCGUCAUCAAAAUGGAUAAAAGGGGAUGUAUCUAGAUGUAUUUUAAUUCUAGAUACAUCUCUUUUUAUCUAUUUUGAUGACAAGUAUUUUCGGACGGAGGGAGUAUUAG
rnacentral:pre_miRNA from 1 species